rnacentral:rRNA from 1 species
UACGUAGGGCGCAAGCGUUGUCCGGAAUUACUGGGCGUAAAGGGCGCGUAGGCGGCCUUCUAAGUCGAACGUGAAAUCCCCGGGCUCAACCCGGGAACUGCGUCCGAUACUGGAAGGCUUGAAUCCGGGAGAGGGAUGUGGAAUUCCAGGUGUAGCGGUGAAAUGCGUAGAUAUCUGGAGGAACACCGGUGGCGAAGGCGACAUCCUGGACCGGUAUUGACGCUGAGGCGCGAAAGCCAGGGGAGCAAACGGG